rnacentral:rRNA from 1 species
UAAGUCCCGCAACGAGCGCAACCCUCAUCUUUAGUUGCCAUCGGUUCGGCCGGGCACUCUAGAGAAACUGCCUGCGACGAGCAGGAGGAAGGCGGGGAUGACGUCAAGUCCUCAUGGCCCUUAUGGACUGGGCUACACACGUGCUACAAUGGCGGUUACAACGGGCAGCGAAAGGGUGACCUGGAGCGAAUCCCCAAAAACCGUCCCAGUUCGGAUUGCACUCUGCAACUCGAGUGCAUGAAGUUGGAAUCGCUAGUAAUCGCGGAUCAGCAUGCCGCGGUGAAUACGUUCCCGGGCCUU